ensembl:lncRNA
GGGGCUCUAUGGGGCUCUAUGGGGCUCUAUGGGGCUCUAUGGGGCGGCUAUGGGGCUCUACGGGGCUCUAUGGGGCUCUAUGGGGCUCCAUGGGGCAGCUAUGGGGCUCUAUGGGGCUCUAAUGGGCUCUUUUGGGGCUCUAUGGGGAUCUAUGGGGCUCUACGGGGCGGCUAUGGGGCUCUAUGGGGCUUUAUGGGGCUCUUAUGGGGCGGCUAUGGGGCUCUAUGGGGCUCUAUGGGGCUCUAUGGGGCGGCUAUGGGGCUCUAUGGGGCUCUAUGGGGCUCUAUGGGGCUCUAUGGCGCGGCUAUGGGGCUCUAUGGGGCGGCUAUGGGGCUCUAAGGGCUCUAUGGGGCUCUAUGGGGCUCUAUGGGGCUCUAGGGGCGGCUAUGGGGCUCUAUGGGGCUCUAUGGGGCUCUAUGGGCGGCUAUGGGGCUCUAUGCGGCUCUAUGGGGCUCUAUGGGGCGGCUAUGGGGCUCUACGGGGCUCUAUGGGGCUCUAUGGGGCUCUAUGGGCGGCUAUGGGGCU